rnacentral:tRNA from 1 species
AAAGGGAGACCUAAUUCAGGUAGGAGACGAAAAAAAGUAGUCCCUACCAAGAAUCAAUCCCAAAAGGUCGGAGCGAGGCAAAAUUGGCUUUCAAACUAGGUUCUGGGUUCACAUAAGACCUGAAUCAGGAACAAGGGCUAUUAGCUCAGGUGGUUAGAGCGCACCCCUGAUAAGGGUGAGGUCCCUGGUUCGAGUCCAGGAUGGCCCACCUGCACAGGUGGCAAAAACAAAGAAAAGAAGCUCCGAAUCAGCACCUUAUCUUACUCAUAUAGUAAGAGAGAAUGCUGGCUCUGAGUUCAGAGUCCAGAGGAACCUUGAAAACUGCAUAGAGCUAGGUGAAAAAGCCAAAAAAGAAGACCGUCAG